GAUCUGUUUUGCUGUUUCUCUCACCUGUCGAUGUGAACCCAGUCCAAAUCGCUCUUGGUCUCCACCGAAUCAACAAAUUUCUCCUCGCUCUCAUCUCACAGAAAUCCAAAACCAAAGAGACAGAGAUUUGUUUCCUGCUCAAAAUCUCAAACUUGCUACUGCUCAGUUUAUUGCUUUGAGGUGUCGUUGAUCGAUCGACUUUAGUUCAAUCUUGAAUCUCUAAUUGCGAGCUAGGUUCAAAUCUUUUCAUUUGCUUCUGAGAUCAACAUCAGAGCCAACCCAUACUCGAUUACAGAAUUCAUCAGUUGAGGUCAAUCCUCAUCUCCUUCUUUCCAAUUCUUUCUAUCAGUAUAGGUUAUAAGUGGCUGCCCUCCAACUCCACCGAACAUGAGUUGUAAUUUGUAAGACCACUAUGGCAUGGCAAGCUGGGCCAACUGAGACUGCAAGCUAUCCCAAGUAAGAGGGAACUAAUCAACAUGAAAAAGGCUUCUAGAGACCUAAUGAUUCAGAUGGCAAGGCUAAGCUACAAUGAACUCGGUGCUUGCAAAUGAUUAUAGACCAUAAACUGGAUGUACUGUUAUCAAUUUUGUACUAUUGCUUUGCGUUUUCAAUGAAGUCGGUGCUUGCAAAUCAAUGCUGGUUAUGUAAAUAUUUGUACAAAGAAUGUAUAAAGCUUAGCAAGCAAACAACCCUGCGGGAGAGAUUAUCUAGUUUUGUACUAUAUUUCAAUGGAUCUCCAGUUCUCAGUG